rnacentral:lncRNA from 1 species
CAUGUAUGCUUCUUAAACACCAUUCAAUUUUGCCUAAAAAAUAAAUUGUCUUCUGAAUUACUGGGCACGAUGGACUGCAAGCGACAUAAGCUCCUUUUGGGUAUUCUAAUAACAUUGAUGUGAUUUGCUAGCUUUAAUGUCCCCUUAUUAGCAUGGGUAACCGUGCGGUCCCUCAUGCCGCUUUUGGUGUUGCAACAACCA